rnacentral:lncRNA from 1 species
GGUAUAACGGUUAGGGCGUCUGACUCGGCUGCGGGAGGUGGCACGUUCGAAACCCACCGCCGGAUACCCACCGGUGAAAUUGGGAACAGGCGUACCCCGGCCAAGCGCCCGGAUUUCUAGGGUGUUCUGCUUGGGAGAAGGCUCGCAAACACCACUAAGCCCCCUUCGAGGGUGCAAACCCAGUUUCGAACGAAACCUAGCUUGCAAAGGUGGUUCUUGUUAGGUGAAUUCCACGUGGAUGACCCUCGGGUCUGUUCAAACCAAGAAUACAUGUGUUCGCGCUUGUGCGUUGCAAAACACAGAGUUUCUGAAACUCGCGAAAGCUUACAAAGCGUUCCUACCACAGAACCAGUGAAAUCGCCGCAAGUCACUAGGCCGGAACAAUGUAUCGUGUCGA